rnacentral:rRNA from 1 species
UGGGGAAUUUUGGACAAUGGGCGCAAGCCUGAUCCAGCCAUGCCGCGUGGGAAAGAAGGCCUUCGGGUUGUAAACCGCUUUUGGCAGGAACGAAACGGCGACCUCUAAUACGGGUCGUUAAUGACGGUACCUGCAGAAUAAGCACCGGCUAACUACGUGCCAGCAGCCGCGGUAAUACGUAGGGUGCAAGCGUUAAUCGGAAUUACUGGGCGUAAAGCGUACGCAGGCGGCUUUGCAAGACAGGUGUGAAAUCCCCGGGCCUAACCUGGGAACUGCAUUUGUGACUGCAUGGCUAGAGUCUGUCAGAGGGGGGUGGAAUUCCACGUGUAGCAGUGAAAUGCGUAGAGAUGUGGAAGAACACCGAUGGCGAAGGCAGCCCCCUGGGAUGAGACUGACGCUCAUGUACGAAAGCGUGGGGAGCAAACAGGAUUAGAUACCCUGGUAGUCCACGCCCUAAACGAUGUCUACUAGUUGUCGGAGGGUAACUCCUUCGGUAACGGAGCUAACGCGUGAAGUAGACCGCCUGGGGAGUACGGUCGCAAGAUUA